rnacentral:rRNA from 1 species
GAUGAACGCUGGCGGCGUGCCUGAUACAUGCAAGUCGAGCGAACGGACGAGAAGCUUGCUGCUCUGAUGUUAGCGGCGGACGGGUGAGUAACACGGGGAGAACCUACCUAUAAGACUGGGAUAACUUCGGGAAACCGGGGCUAAUACCGGAUGAUAUUUUGAACCGCAUGGUUCAAAAGUGAAAGACGGUCUUGCUGUUACUUAUAGAUGGAUCCGCGCUGCAUUAGCGAGUUGGUAAGGUAACGGCUUACCAAGGCAACGAUGCAUAGCCGACCUGAGAGGGGGAUCGGCCACACUGGAAGUGGGACACGGUCCAGACUCCUACGGGAGGCCGCAGUAGGGAAUCUUCCGCAAUGGCCGAAAGCCUGACGGAGCAACGCCGGGUGAGUGAUGAAGGUCUUCGGAUCGUAAAACUCUGUUAUUAGGGAAGAACAUAUGUGUAAGUAACUGUACACAUCUUGACGGUACCUAAUCAGAAAGCCACGGCUAACUACGUG